rnacentral:rRNA from 1 species
GAUACUGGCUCAGGAUGAACGCUGGCGGCGUGCUUAACACAUGCAAGUCGAACGAAGCACCUUGAUUUGAUUCUUCGGAUGAAGAUCCUGGUGACUGAGUGGCGGACGGGUGAGUAACGCGUGGGUAACCUGCCUCAUACAGGGGGAUAACAGUUAGAAAUGACUGCUAAUACCGCAUAAGACCACAGCACCGCAUGGUGCAGGGGUAAAACUACCGGUGGUAUGAGAUGGACCCGG